GUAUAGGUUAUUAUCACGCAUUUACGUGUGGCAUUAUUUUUGUUGUGCAACCCCACAUAUUUUAUAUGUUUUCCGGGGGAUUUUUCUGUGCAAUGGAUUUUUCUGUGCAAUUAGUUUUAGCUUUUGAGCAAGUUAGUUCACGCGAUAUUUUGCCAUGUUGCCCUCUUGUCUUUUUCGUAGGAUUUAUUCCGUGCUCUGUUUGACUAAGUUGUCAAUUAGGGAGAUGUUCUUGGAUGUUUAGUCUAGCCCCUGGCAUUUUUGGUUGCAAUAGAAAUGCAUGUUUAGGUG
rnacentral:lncRNA from 1 species